UGUCAUUUCCCUUUACUAUAUAUCCUCUUGCCUAUUUCUAUUAGUUUCCUAUUGUUUUAGGAUUCCUUAUAAAUUAUGAUUCUUAUGUAUCUUGGAUAUAAAUAGGCAGCUUAUACAACAUCUAAAUUAAACAAAAAUAUAGAGAUUUUUCUCUCUCAAAUACCUAUUUCUACAAGGUGAUUUCAAAUAUGACAGACUCCUAUAUCUCAUGCAAUACGAAAAACAUAACUGAUGAAUUUAGUAUGCUUGUUAGGGGUUUAUUUUUGGUUCAUUUGGCUCCAACUAGGGCUUGAAUUCGAGAUCUCAAAAAACAAAAACAACU
rnacentral:misc_RNA from 1 species